UACGGAGGGUGCAAGCGUUAUCCGGAUUUAUUGGGUUUAAAGGGUCCGUAGGCGGACUCGUAAGUCAGUGGUGAAAUCUCAUAGCUUAACUAUGAAACUGCCAUUGAUACUGCGGGUCUUGAGUAAAGUAGAAGUGGGCUGGAAUAAGUAGUGUAGCGGUGAAAUGCAUAGAUAUUACUUAGAACACCAAUUGCGAAGGCAGGUCACUAUGUUUUAACUGACGCUGAUGGACGAAAGCGUGGGGAGCGAACAGGAUUAGAAA
rnacentral:rRNA from 1 species